CGUCCUACGGGACGCAGCAGUGAGGAAUAUUGGUCAAUGGGCGCGAGCCUGAACCAGCCAAGUCGCGUGAGGGAAGACGGUCCUAUGGAUUGUGAACCUCUUUUGUCGGGGAGCAAAAGACGCCACGCGUGGCGUUCCGAGAGUACCCGAAGAAAAAGCAUCGGCUAACUCCGGGCCAGCAGCCGCGGUAAUACGGAGGAUGCGAGCGUUAUCCGGAUUUAUUGGGUUUAAAGGGUGCGCAGGCGGAAGAGCAAGGCAGCGGUAAAAUUGAGAGGCUCAAACUCUUCGAGCCGUUGAAACUGGUU
rnacentral:rRNA from 1 species